AUGGCCUGGUCCCCUCUCCUCCUCACCCUCCUUGCUCACUGCACAGGAUCCUGGGCCCAGUCUGUGCUGACUCAGCCGCCCUCAGUGUCUGGAAACCUGGGCCAGAAGGUCACCAUCUCCUGCACUGGAAGCAGCUCCAACUUUGAAGAUUACGGUGUACACUGGUACCAGCAGCUCCCAGGCACGGCCCCUAAACUCCUCAUCUAUAAUGAUAAUGAAAGACCCUCGGGGGUCUCAGAUCGAUUCUCAGGUUCCAUGUCUGGCAACUCGGGCUCCCUGGCCAUCAGUGGGCUCCAGGCUGAGGACGAGGGUUCUUAUUUCUGCCAGUCCUACGAUGACAACCUGGGUGGCUUCAGGCUGGACAUCAGAGCUGGGAAUGAUGGGAUAUGGGGGGCCAACUGUGUCCUUGCUCACUAA